rnacentral:tRNA from 1 species
AUUUAAAUAGCUUAUAUAGAGCAAGAUAUUGAAGAUAUCUAGGAAGUGUUAACACUUUUAAAUA